CCUACGGGAGGCAGCAGUGAGGAAUAUUGGUCAAUGGACGCAAGUCUGAACCAGCCAUGCCGCGUGAAGGAGGACGGCUCUAUGAGUUGUAAACUUCUUUUGUACGGGAGCAAAGCCCGAUACGCGUCUCGGGUUGAAAGUAUCUGAAGAAUAAGGAUCGGCUAACUCCGUGCCAGCAGCCGCGGUAAUACGGAGGAUACGAGCGUUAUCCGGAUUUAUUGGGUUUAAAGGGUGCGUAGGCGGUUUGAUAAGUUAGAGGUAAAAUGCCGGGGCUCAACCCCGGAACUGCCUGUGAAACUGUUAGACUAGAGAAUAGUAGAGGUAGGCGGAAUGUAUGGUGUAGCGGUGAAAUGCUUAGAGAUCAUGCAGAACACCGAUUGCGAAGGCAGCUUACCAAA
rnacentral:rRNA from 1 species